GAACCUUGGUAAAGCUUGCAACUGAAUAACGUGCUGGUGGAGUUGAGCUUUCCGUUGCUGCCCAACAUAAAUAUGGAUUUGAAGCAGCCAUCUGAUAAAGGGUGUUCCUCUUGCUACCUGUACUGUUGUGUGUUUCAUCACACGAAGAAACACUUAGCUACAAUUGAAGUUUAGCGUUUAUGUUCGCGUAGUUGCUGUCCGAUGUGGCACGUUGUUGCAGCCUAUGCUGGUGAAAGAUCUUACUACAUCAAGUUCAAUUGGCCGUUCCUUGGUGCUGGUGUCGUGUUACCGAAGUUGCAUCAUUAUUUUUUUAAAUUGUCAUCGUGACUUGCAGUUUACCGUUUAUAAGUUCAGAAGCAACAAAAACAAACAUGGGAUGCUAUGUCAACAAAUAAUAAACAUGUUUCCGGGAUUGGGGAAAGGAAAGUGGAGGAUGUUGGAGGGGGGAAGGAGGAUAUUUCAAGUUUGAAUUAAAAUUCAGUUAAACUAUAACCUUACAAAUGUAUCCCUACCAAUCAACCUCCAAACCCCACGAACAUAAACCUUCCAAUCCUUCAAACCCCAAAAACAUACACCUACCAACCCUUACAUUUAUACCACCUUACAAAUGUAUCCCUACCAAUCAACCUCCAAACCCCACGAACAUAAACCUUCCAAUCCUUCAAACCCCAAAAACAUACACCUACCAACCCU
rnacentral:lncRNA from 1 species